CUACGGGAGGCUGCAGUGGGGAAUAUUGGACAAUGGGGGAAACCCUGAUCCAGCAAUGCCGCGUGUGUGAAGAAGGCCUGCGGGUUGUAAAGCACUUUCGGUUGGGAGGACUGCUUCUAGCACUAAUAUUGUUGGAAGUUGACGUUACCUUCAGAAGAAGCACCGGCUAACUCCGUGCCAGCAGCCGCGGUAAUAGCGGAGGGUGCAAGCGUUAAUCGGAAUUACUGGGCGUAAAGCGCGCGUAGGCGGCUAGAUCAGUCGGGUGUGAAAGCCCCGGGCUUAACCUGGGAACUGCAUCCGAUACUGGCUAGCUUGAGUACAGGAGAGGAGAGUGGAAUUCCACAUGUAGCGGUGAAAUGCGUAGAUAUGUGGAGGAACACCAAUGGCGAAGGCAGCUCUCUGGCCUGAUACUGACGCUGAGGUGCGAAAGCGUGGGGAGCAAACAGGAUUAGAUACCCUCGUAGUC
rnacentral:rRNA from 1 species